rnacentral:ribozyme from 1 species
UGUUGCUGGUGGACGGACUUCUUAUCAGUGCACAUUUCUUUCAAAUGGUCAUGUCAAACGCCACCAUAUACUACAUCGUUGCGGCUGUUGUGGGGAGCUUAGUCGCUGGGUGUUGUUGUAUGGGUUUGGUUUUUCUAAGGCGACAGGAUAAGCCUUUUAAUCAGGAAGGAAAGUUGUCGUGGUACGCAUCUCCAGGUGCUGCUGCUGGGGACGUCUCUGAUGCAGAAUCUAUUGCUAGCAAUGGAGAGCGCAGAAGUAAAAGCAAAAAGAAGAGCAGUAGAAAGCUCAAGAAAAAGAGGAAAGAUAAGAAGAAGAAAAGAGACACCUCAUUGGACAGCCGGUCUUCUCGUUCAA